rnacentral:rRNA from 1 species
UACGAAGGGGGCGAGCGUUGUUCGGAUUUACUGGGCGUAAAGGGCGCGCAGGCGGCAGACCAAGUCAGGCGUGAAAGCCCCGGGCUUAACCUGGGAGGUGCGUCUGGGACUGGUAUGCUAGAGUUCGGGAGAGGAGAGUGGAAUUCCCAGUGUAGAGGUGAAAUUCGUAGAUAUUGGGAAGAACACCGAUGGCGAAGGCAGCCAUCUGGACCGACACUGACGCUGAGGCGCGAAAGCGUGGGGAGCAAACAGG